UGUCAUUCUUCUUUUCAUCAUGAACUCAUAUUUUUUUUUUAUAAAAACAUUUUCUGAAAAAUUGAUACUUACAGUGAAUUUUGAAAACUUAACAAUAUAGGAUUUGAGAUGUUUUACUCCAAAGAAUUAACAUAAAAUGGUUUUAAAAGCAUACUUUUGUGAAAUAUUAUCACCUCCAAAUUGUGUCUUGCAAAUCCUGUCUAUACUAUCACUCUUACAUAUUCAGGAUGAGAAAUAAAGAAAAUGGAAUGAAACAAAACCAAACCAAACAAAAAGAAGAAAAUACUAGGGGACAAUAAUCUAUCAUAAAACAAGAACAAAAGCUCUCAAGUCUACUGAAAAGCAGGUGCCUUGUGAGAACGUACUACUCUGAUCUGAGGCCAAUAACCAGUUGCCACAUUUAUUUUAAUGCUUUGGGGAAUGAAAAAAAAGAUGUCUUUUUUUCCCAUAUAAUAGCAUUGCAUUCUAGUCCAUUCUACAUGGAGCUAUUUGCUAUAAGAGUUCAAGUUUAUUUUUUUUUCCUGAAAUAAUGAAGGGAAAAUAUUUUUUUUUUAAUUUUAUUUAUUUGACAGAGAGAAAUCACAAGUAGACGGAGAAGCAGGCAGAGAGAGAGAGGGAGGAAGCAGGCUUCCUGCUGAGCAGAGAGCCCGAUGUGGGGCUCGAUCCCAGGACCCUGAGAUCAUGUCCUGAGCCGAAGGCAGCAGCUUAACCCACUGAGCCACCCAGGCGCCCCGAAGGGAAAAUAUUUUUAAGGAUAAAAAUUCAAAUAAUGCUAUUAGAUCUCAAGCACAAAAUGAUUGAUUUGAGCAUACGUAUUUGCUCAUUGUGGUACUAAAUGCUCUGUUUUUUAAGAUGAUAAAACAGAGUUGAUACUUAACAAGUGUGCAGUAUGCCCCAAAUUUCUUAUCUUCAACAUGAUGAUACAUACUUUUUCCAGAAACUUUUAAAAAACUAUUUUUUAGGAGUUAAAACAUAUCUUCCUAAUACCUCAAGUUAGGCAGUUGAUAAGAUGAUACUGAGCUGUGUAUAGUUUCAAGAUUAUGGAAUAAACAUAUACUGCAGUUAUCCUUCGCUGCCUCAAACCUUAGUUAGCAA
rnacentral:lncRNA from 1 species